UGGGCGUAAGCGCGCGCAGGUGGUUUCUUAAGUCUGAUGUGAAAGCCCACGGCUCUACCGUGGAGGGUCAUUGGAAACUGGGAGACUUGAGUGCCCAAGAGGAAAGUGGAAUUCCAUGUGUAGCGGUGAAAUGCGUAGAGAUAUGGAGGAACACCAGUGGCGAAGGCGACUUUCUGGUCUGUAACUGACACUGAGGCGCGAAAGCGUGGGGAGCAAACAGGAUUAGAUACCCUGGUAGUCCACGCCGUAAACGAUGAGUGCUAAGUGUUAGAGGGUUUCCGCCCUUUAUUGCUGAAGUUAACGCAUUAAGCACUCCGCCUGGGGAGUACGGCCGCAAGGCUGAAACUCAAAGGAAUUGACGGGGGCCCGCACAAGCGGUGGAGCAUGUGGUU
rnacentral:rRNA from 1 species